GUGACACAGCGGGAGAGCCCAGAGCGACAGCUGUUGGAAUGACUGCACUCUUCCUGCUCAAGUCUGACCUUUCCAAGCCUUUGUCCUAUGUCUGGAGACUUCUUGGAAGCUGGAGCACACAAAUAGCUACAGCAAACUUGAGGAAUGGGCAUGAAUAGACUGGCUUCGGGGAACCUGCCAGCUUGGCCGUGUGGCCAAGGUAAUAGGCAAGCCAAGGCAGAGCUAGAGCUCAGAGCUGGAGGGGAAAUUAAAGCAGCAAAUGUAGAAACAUUAAGCCUGAAGAGGCGACGACGUUGAAUUCUAAAAUGCAGGCCAAAGCUCAGACUGCAAGCUGUCUGGCUGCUCCGGGUGUGCCCAGAAGUCAAAGUCCAGCAGGGGCAAAGGUGGAGGUGUGGUCCUGCACGUGGGGUGUUGGGGGGAUGUGGAAGAGGAGGUGCUUUAAGAUCCAGAGAUUCCAGCUGCCCUGGUGCACCCUUGGAAGAAUAAAAGGCUAGGAACUGGACAAGUCAGGCUCGAGUCCAAGCUGCCUGAGGAAUCGGGGAAAGAAUGGAGCUCAGAGUGGGAGGUCAGGGCAGUAUUUAAAAAUCCAGGAUAGCAGCAAAGCUGGCGGUGGCCCCUGACUCUGGUAAGGGCAGCCUGCAGCACCAUGCCAAGGGGGGCCUGACUGAUCAUGCCCUGCAUUUGCAAACAAGGAUUAGUAGGGUAUGAGUAGGAUUCUGCUGGUGCCUGGGAAGGCAGUGCCAUCUACAACUUUACAAAGUUUUAACAAAGGCCUGAAGGACACAACCUUCCCCAAAGUCCUGACGUCGCUGUUUGCUGGCAACAAAUAGAGUCAAAAGAAGAGAGGCACAGAAUGUGCCAGGGGUGUGCUGCGUACAGCCCCGAUGACCACAAGGCCUUCUUGGGUCAAGUUCUGCCAUCUCUGGUUAAGAUGGGCUCACCCUCUAGGACCCUGAUUGAGUCCUCGGACCACCAAGAGUGCCCCACCAAGAGCCUCCCUCUUCUGGUGACUCGUGCCUGCUUCCCGUGGAGAGCUCCAGAAGGGAGGAAACUGUGAGGAGGUGGAGAACGUGGCAGGGAUCCUAACUUUCUUACUGAAGGAAGUUCUUCACAAGUACCCAUCUGCCUUCAGGGAAGAAAACAUAACUCAUUUUGGUCUUUCAAAUUCAGUUCUCAAAACCAAAUCCUGUUGUCAGCAAUCUGUGUCCCAACGCCUUCUUCAGCAACAGCAUUUUCCCUGUGGAAUUAGUUUCCAAUGUUCUUUCUUAAAUAAACCACUGAAGAUUAAAAGGAAUCCAGAUACCCACCACAUUUUGUUUCCUUAAUGAGUAAUUAUCACAUUUCUUUGGCUACUUAAAUGCAUUCUCUGAGUCAGGUAAAGGAGAUCGUAAUAGUUAAUCAACAAGAAGUAAUUCUUGGGUACUUAACAAUAGUCUAAGCACUUAAUCAUACUUAAAAUUGACUAUUAAUGAACCUUAUAAACCAUUUUGCAAUUCUGAAAGUGAAUUUCUCUGCAGGCUUAGAGAUUACUAAGCCAUUUAGAUCUUACCAAACAAAUAUUAUUCAUGCUUUAAUUCCUGGGAAAAGAAAUUUAGAAAAUGAGGUUAAUGUUCAGUUGUCCUUUCCUGAGUUUAACAAUUAUAUAUUCCAUCUGGGAUGCUCUGAACUCAGGUUAAACAUUCUUCAAGUUAUUCCCACAUUUUUCAAGUUAUUCCCACGUUAGUGACCUACUUUAUUAGUAUUAUUACUAAAGAAAAGGGCUGGGUGCGGUGGCCCACAUCUGUAAUCCCAGCACUUUGGGAGGCUGAAGCAGGAGGAUCACUUGAGCUUGGGAGUUCAAGACCAGCCUGAGAGGGAGACUCCGUCUCUACAAAAAAAAAAAAAUUAGCCAGGUAUGGUGGCACGCGCUCAUGGGCCCAGCUACUCAAGGAGGCUGAGGUGGGAGGAUCACGUGAACCUGGGAGGCAGAGCCUGCAGUGAGCCCUGGUUGUGCCUCUGUACUCAAGCCUGAGAGACAGAGUGAGACCCUGUCUCCAAACAAUAAAGUAAAAUAAAUAAAUAAAUAAAUAAGAAUGCAAAUCAAAGACAUUAAGAAAUAGCUUUACUUUAAUGUAGGCAUUUAAGGUAAAAUAGGUCACAUUCUCUUUUUUAAAAAAAUUACUGACCCACAGAAAAACAAGUCAAAAAGCAGACUAUUUCAUAUUAGUGUCUUUUUUUUAAAGAGGAUUAAUAUAAAUUGCCUUCUCACCUGUUUUUAAAAUAAAGGACUGAAUGAUAGAACUUAGACAACAAAUCUAGUAGCAUGAUAAAAGCCUUUCUUUGAUAGCUAGAAAAGGUAAACAAAGAAUAAAACAGGGUGAAGAAGAAAGAGGACAGAUAGAAUGUGAAUAUUAUCUACCUUUUUCUCAAGAUAAAACUAAUAUUGCUUUCUAAAAAGAAGCAAUUCUUUAGAGCAGAGGUCAGCAAACUUUUUCUAUAAAGAGCCAGAUAUUAACUAUUUUAUAAUUUGCAAACCACAUAAGUCCUCUGUUUCAUAUGGGUUUUUUUCUUUUUUCUUUUUAAACAAUACUUUAAAAAUGCUGAAAAUAUUCUUAGCUUACAUCUACAAAAAAGCAGGC
rnacentral:lncRNA from 1 species